rnacentral:lncRNA from 1 species
UUUGAGUAGUUUUCGGUUGAGUUUUAGACAAUUUAUACAUAAUUGUUUUCAAAGUUGUUCAUAGUGCUCGACUUCGAUUGAUCGCCAAAUUUGAUACAUAAACUAAAUUAAUAUCAAUAAUUGAAACCAUACUAGAAAAAACUUAAUAGAUGGAACAAUACUGGAUUUAUUUAUAUCUGUUAUUAUGCUUCCGUCAGUAUUUAGUCCAUUUGGAUUUGAAUUUCCACGUGAAUUGGACUUAUCUAUUAAAAAAAUCAGAACAAUUAUGUCUACUCCAACGUUGUAUGGUGGUGCUAGAAAAGAGAAUUAGAUAUAGAUAAUAUCAUGAUAUUAAGAUUACUUAAUUACCAGAUGGAAUCGUAUCGGACAGUAUCGUAAAUUGAUGAAUACCCACACUACAAUAUUUGUAUAUAAAUAGAAACACCAGAAAGGUUUUGAUAUAACUUAUCCAUAUUAGCCGUGUUCCUUUGUUAACCGCAAGACGCUCCCGCUGCGGCAAGAAAAAGCACGGUGGUGAUGAUCAAAAUAAUAGAAUCUGAAGCUAAAGUAAC